CAGUUCAGAAGCAGGAGGCACAACGAGUCUAUGAAUACGUGAAUGUGAGGAAGAAGAAAACGAGGCAGGCAGUUGGCGCAUUCACCAGCUUCGUGGCACAGGGAGGCUGCUUCAAUUUGCAAAGCGCGGAUUUCUCCACUUGGCUGUUUUCACCUGGGGUCAGUUUUGCGGCUCCAAAUACCAAGAAUGGAGCCUGGAAAUGGCGGAAAUUCCCACGAGCAGGGUAGGAAGAGGACUCGCUCAGCCUCCCCGGAGCCGCUCAACUUGAUCAGGCGCCGAAACGCUGACGGCACUAUUGACUGGCGAUGGCUGGAGGAGAACGUUUGUUUCAGGAACAUGCCUCUGGUGACCGAAGUUGUGGAACGAGUUCGGGUGAAAUCGCAGACGUGGAAGCGCCAUCCACAUCGCAUGGCCGGGCUAGGCUCUGCACAGAGCCUUCUCCACCUCCAAAAGGGGUUGCAGAGCCACCUGUGGGCGUCGCCACGAGGUUCUUUCCCCCGUCGUCGCUCAUCGAUCGUUUAACGCCAGUGCUGAGGGGGAUCUCUGCGGGCAACUCUACCUGGCAUCGUCACUCAAGAGUCAAUCGCGAGAGCAUGGUGCCGAUGCCCAACGUGAGCCCCACGCAAGCUACUGCCCCGUGGGAGGAAGCCCAAGAAGAACAGCCCGGCCCAUCAAACAUGUUUCAACUGUAUCACUGACGUCAUCCGAAUGGCAGCGCUCGAUCGUCACGAGCGCAUCAGUUUGACGACAUUGUAAUAACGUUUUUACCUUGAAUUUGUGCACCCGGGUGUAUCUAUUUGCAUUACUAAACGUUGACAUGGCGUG